AUAACCCUGAGCAUUUUCUAGUUCAAUUAGAUCACAGACCCUCCACAAAUCAUCUUUCUUCAUUUUCCGGAGCUUAUCCUUCAAUUUCAAUUUUGAAACCUGCAAAACAUUCCUCUUAAAAUGAUAAGCCUCCUGCAAAACAUUCCUCUUAAAAUGAUAAGCCUUUCCACGCCUUCAAUAAAGAAGAUUGUGAAUGAUUGCCAGCAUUUCAUCACCUCUGGUCGAUCCAACGGAGUAGUAGGCGUUGAAAGUAAAUCCUCGGUUUUCUCAGAGUAAAUCCUCGGUUUUCUCUUCUCUGAAUUCUUCAGCCAUAUUGAGAUUCGAACCUGUGACUUAAGGUUCAAACCCUGGAAUUAAAUACCUCUUAUAGCUUCGUUCAAUGAAUCGGCAUCAAAUAUGGACAUGAACUCAAAAUUUCCAUUCAUGGCACUGACAUUGGAUUCAUGGGUGGUCUCAUUUCUCAUGCUGGUAUUAGCACUUGUCACAGGCCAUUGACAACAGAGGAUUACUGAGCUGCAUCAU